rnacentral:rRNA from 1 species
CCUACGGGGGGCUGCAGUGGGGAAUAUUGGACAAUGGGCGAAAGCCUGAUCCAGCCAUGCCGCGUGUGUGAAGAAGGCCUUCGGGUUGUAAAGUACUUUCAGUGGGGAAGGAAGCCUUGGGGCUAAUACCCUCGAGGAAGGACAUCACCCACAGAAGAAGCACCGGCUAACUCCGUGCCAGCAGCCGCGGUAAUACGGAGGGUGCGAGCGUUAAUCGGAAUUACUGGGCGUAAAGCGCGCGUAGGCGGUCUGAUAAGCCGGUUGUGAAAGCCCCGGGCUCAACCUGGGAACGGCAUCCGGAACUGUCAGGCUAGAGUGCAGGAGAGGAAGGUAGAAUUCCCGGUGUAGCGGUGAAAUGCGUAGAGAUCGGGAGGAAUACCAGUGGCGAAGGCGGCCUUCUGGACUGACACUGACGCUGAGGUGCGAAAGCGUGGGUAGCAAACAGGAUUAGAUACCCCAGUAGUC